CAGGCUCAGGACGAACGCUGGCGGCGUGCUUAACACAUGCAAGUCGAGCGAUGAAGUUCCUUCGGGAAUGGAUUAGCGGCGGACGGGUGAGUAACACGUGGGUAACCUGCCUCAUAGAGGGGAAUAGCCUUCCGAAAGGAAGAUUAAUACCGCAUAAGAUUGUAGUACCGCAUGGUAUAGCAAUUAAAGGAGUAAUCCGCUAUGAGAUGGACCCGCGUCGCAUUAGCUAGUUGGUGAGGUAACGGCUCACCAAGGCGACGAUGCGUAGCCGACCUGAGAGGGUGAUCGGCCACAUUGGGACUGAGACACGGCCCAGACUCCUACGGGAGGCAGCAGUGGGGAAUAUUGCACAAUGGGGGAAACCCUGAUGCAGCAACGCCGCGUGAGUGAUGACGGUCUUCGGAUUGUAAAACUCUGUCUUCAGGGACGAUAAUGACGGUACCUGAGGAGGAAGCCACGGCUAAC
rnacentral:rRNA from 1 species